CACGUAGGGCGCAAGCGUUGUCCGGAAUCAUUGGGCGUAAAGAGCGUGUAGGCGGCUCGAUAAGUCUGUUGUGAAAGUCCAGGGCUCAACCCUGGAAGGCCGGUGGAAACUGUCGGGCUAGAGUCCGGAAGAGGCGAGUGGAAUUCCCGGUGUAGCGGUGAAAUGCGCAGAUAUCGGGAGGAACACCAAUGGCGAAGGCAGCUCGCUGGGACGGUACUGACGCUGAGACGCGAAAGCGUGGGGAGCAAACAGG
rnacentral:rRNA from 1 species